GGGGUGCUUACCAUGCAAGUCGAACGGUAAGGCCCACAGCUUGCUGGGGUACACGAGUGGCGAACGGGUGAGUAACACGUGGGUGACCUGCCCCGCACUUCGGGAUAAGCCUGGGAAACUGGGUCUAAUACCGGAUAGGACCGCACCGUGAGGGUGUGGUGGAAAGUUUUUCGGUGUGGGAUGGGCCCGCGGCCUAUCAGCUUGUUGGUGGGGUAAUGGCCUACCAAGGCGGCGACGGGUAGCCGGCCUGAGAGGGUGGACGGCCACAUUGGGACUGAGACACGGCCCAGACUCCUACGGGAGGCAGCAGUGGGGAAUAUUGCACAAUGGGCGGAAGCCUGAUGCAGCGACGCCGCGUGGGGGAUGACGGCCUUCGGGUUGUAAACUCCUUUCACCAUCGACGAAGGUUUUCUGACGGUAGAUGGAGAAGAAGCACCGGCUAACUACGUGCCAGCAGCCGCGGUAAUACGUAGGGUGCGAGCGUUGUCCGGAAUUACUGGGCGUAAAGAGCUCGUAGGUGGUUUGUCGCGUCGUCUGUGAAAUUCCGGGGCUUAACUCCGGGCGUGCAGGCGAUACGGGCAUAACUUGAGUACUGUAGGGGAGACUGGAAUUCCUGGUGUAGCGGUGAAAUGCGCAGAUAUCAGGAGGAACACCGGUGGCGAAGGCGGGUCUCUGGGCAGUAACUGACGCUGAGGAGCGAAAGCAUGGGUAGCGAACAGGAUUAGAUACCCUGGUAGUCCAUGCCGUAAACGGUGGGCGCUAGGUGUAGGGGUCUUCCACGACUUCUGUGCCGUAGCUAACGCAUUAAGCGCCCCGCCUGGGGAGUACGGCCGCAAGGCUAAAACUCAAAGGAAUUGACGGGGGCCCGCACAAGCGGCGGAGCAUGUGGAUUAAUUUCGAUGCAACGCGAAGAACCUUACCUGGGCUUGACAUAUACGGGACCGGGCUCAGAGAUGGUCCUUCCCUUGUGGCUCGUAUACAGGUGGUGCAUGGGUUGUCGUCAGCUCGUGUCGUGAGAAUGUUGGGGUUUAGUCCCGC
rnacentral:rRNA from 1 species